rnacentral:lncRNA from 1 species
UCCCUGGUCUUGGCCCCAAAUGCAGUCACCAGCGAGUUUUCCAUUUUCCAAGUCCAAGGGCACAAUUGUUGAUGACCGUGUGACAACAGAGCGAUGCCCUGGGGAGUGAACAGUCCAACCUCUGCAUUCAGUUAGGAGCUCUUCACAUGAAUCACAUCCUUAUCUGUCACCUUUUGUCACAUUUUAAAGUGACUUUUAUUUUGCACAAAUAAUUUUUAUUCAGAAUAAUAAAUCACUCUUUAUUCACAGUAUCUUCUCUUCCCUCUUCCCCUUUAGUUUGGAUAGCCUAACUCUGAGAAGUUAACCCUUAAACAGUUUUCUGGAAGAGACUGAAUUUCUGGGUCCUUGCAGCUGUGAUGGUUUCAGAGCUCAGGCUAAUCAGGCAUCAAGCUACCCUCAAGAGUUUCUGGGCUGGAUGCUUCAGAACAACAUCUACACCAGUAAACUGUAAUAGGAUGGCCAGUAUCAUUUUACCCCCACCUCCCAAGCCCCAAGAGGUGUACCUUUUCAGAUGCCAUUUUACAGGCGGAAAUGCUCCAUGAAACAGGAAGCCACUUGCAAGCAACAUCUGCUCUGUUCCUCAGGUGGGGCCCAGAGCCCUUCCCCGAGACUGCUGAUGUCUGUAACCACUGGGGAGCACUGCCAAAAAUACAGCUUUCUGGUUUGUGAGCCCACAAAUGACUUAAAUCAGCUUUACAUCAUUUUUACAUAUCAAGUGGUUUCAUGUUAAAAAAACAAACUCCUAGUCCUUUAGAAAUAACAGAUUCUCUGCACAAAACCACCCAUUCAUUCAUUUAUUCAUUCACAUCACUAGCAAGUGCUGCCUAUGCUAAGAACAAGUCAGAUCUGAUCCCUGCCCUCAUGGACCUGACCACUCAACAAACAGUCCCCACCACACCUGUCUCCUUAGGCAAGACUUUGCCUCUCUCCUAGUCCUGAGUAUAAAUCUUGUGCAUAGAUUCCUCUAGAAAGGCAUCAAAAGACUCAACAGACUGAAUAGCCUCUUGGUCUGCGAAUUCAGUUGCAAUGAGGAUGAAGUCACUAUCCUAGAGGCUGCUUGGCCCAGAAGAGCCAGGCACAGAGCUGCAGUUGGGUACGCCAAGGAUUCCAAAGGUGGAAUGAGAGAGUAGGGUCAAAAUGUCACAGUAUCUGCUCCAUAGGUUUCUGUUUUUAAUUUCAAUGUUAAAUACAACUACAAUAUGAGCGAGAACUGCAUUUUCUUGGGUGUUGAGAACUUGUACCAUGGACUUCAGACCGCCUUGCAGCCCUAUGCUGCACAAGCGUGUACACCCCCUGGGCAGCCUCAAAACCCCGCUUACAGCAGCAACACAGGAGAUCAUCUGUCCAUUUUAGAACCAUUAAUCUCUUUAUCCAUUGCUGAACGACUGUGACUAUUCAGUAAUGAAAUAAUAUUAAUUAAUUAGUAUGGUAUAAUCUUUAAUAAAUUUCGUGCCAAAAUGCAUGGUUUUCCACUUAGCAUUCAAAAUGUUGCAUAGAGAGUAGUUUUCAAUUUCUUAUGUACUCUUCGAAGUAAGUUGAAAAUCAGUUUCUACAUUUUAAUUCGUUUCCUGUUAAAUCUGUUGCACUCUCCUGGGCUGUCUUUUUUUCCAGCAGACCCCUGCAUGCAGUUGUGUAAGGACUUUCUCUAAUUCUUGUGAAUCGUCUCACCCGCAGUAACCACUGAACAUCAAUCAGCCCUCCAUGGGGUUCUUUAGAUUUUUGGUGAAGUAUUUUGUUACCUCAGUCUUGUAUCAAGUUGCUGUAUUUUUCAGCUUGUUACAUUGAUAAUAAUUAUUUCACUAAUUAAAUACUUUAAUGUACA